GGAUGUGAAGGCAAUCUUGCUGUGACUUCUGUCACUGAUCACUAGGGUUGAUUCCGUUGGUCUGGCUGGCCAGGCAGGUGUCCCCCUCCUCUGUCACUGCUCUGUGUACCAGGUGCAUCCCCCCAAAAUUGCAAGCUUGGUCAAAGUGGACCACUGUCUUUGAUAGAGGAGGACCGUGAUUCGGUCAGGGGUAUAUGAGCAGCUGUACUUCCCUGCUAGAACCUCCAAACAAGCUCUCAAAGUACAAGAGACCAAAGCCCUCACCACCAGAGAAUU
ensembl:misc_RNA 7SK 7SK RNA